CCUACGGGAGGCAGCAGUGAGGAAUAUUGGUCAAUGGACGAGAGUCUGAACCAGCCAAGUAGCGUGAAGGAUGACUGCCCUAUGGGUUGUAAACUUCUUUUAUAAAGGAAUAAAACGAGGCACGUGUGCCUUUUUGCAUGUACUUUAUGAAUAAGGCUCGGCUAACUCCGUGCCAGCAGCCGCGGUAAUGCGGAGGAUCCGAGUGUUAUCCGGAUUUUUUGGGUUUAAAGGGAGCGUAGAUGGGUUGUUAAGUCAGUUGUGAAAGUUUGCGGAUCAACCGUCAAAUUGCAAUUGAUACUGGCAGUCUUGAGUACAGGUGAGGUAGGCGGAAUGCGUGGUGUAGCGGUGAAAUGCGUAGAUAUCACGAAGAACCCCGAUUGCGAAGGCAGCUUACUAAACUGUGACUGACAUUGAUGCGCGAAAGUGUGGGUAUCAAACAGGAUUAGAUACCCUUGUAGUC
rnacentral:rRNA from 1 species